rnacentral:tmRNA from 1 species
GGGGGCGAUAUGGUCUCGACGCCGGUAGUAAACUCCGAGGUGCAUGCCGAGAUUGUAACGUAUCUCGUAAAUCCCACGUUGCAACUAAAUAGUCGCAAACGACGAAAACUACGCUCAAGGUGCACUGGCAGCUUAAACCCUGCUAGUUGUUAGCCUGGCUCCAAGGGAAUGUGCCCAUUUAUUCCGGAGGAGAGAUGAGCGACAGCUAAUGGGAUCGUGUUUGGCCCUGUCCUCGUGUCAAACACUAAACUUUAGAGGAAUCGUGGUGCCGUAUCCUGCCCGUCGGAGGCGUCACUGCUAAAUCAAAAGACGGAACUAAGCAUGUAGAGCCGAAGGGUAAGCGCCGGCGGACGCGGGUUCAAUUCCCGCCGCCUCCACCA